rnacentral:rRNA from 1 species
GACGAACGCUGGCGGCGUGCCUAAUACAUGCAAGUCGAGCGAAUUUACGAGAGCUUGCUCUCGUAAAUUAGCGGCGGACGGGUGAGUAACACGUGGGCAACCUGCCUAUAAGACUGGGAUAACUUCGGGAAACCGGAGCUAAUACCGGAUAAUUCACAUCUACUCAUGUAGAUGUGCUGAAAGACGGUUUACACUGUCACUUAUAGAUGGGCCCGCGGCGCAUUAGCUAGUUGGUGAGGUAACGGCUCACCAAGGCCACGAUGCGUAGCCGACCUGAGAGGGUGAUCGGCCACACUGGGACUGAGACACGGCCCAGACUCCUACGGGAGGCAGCAGUAGGGAAUCUUCCGCAAUGGACGAAAGUCUGACGGAGCAACGCCGCGUGAGUGAUGAAGGUUCUCGGAUCGUAAACUCUGUUGUUAGGGAAGAACAAGUACCGGAGUAACUGCCGGUACCUUGACGGUACCUAACCAGAAAGCCACGGCUAACUACGUGCCAGC